GUAGUCUGCAACCCGGCUACAUGAAGCUGGAAUCGCUAGUAAUCGCGGAUCAGAAUGCCGCGGUGAAUACGUUCCCGGGUCUUGUACACACCGCCCGUCACACCAUGGGAGUCGGAAAUGCCCGAAGUCAGUGGCCCAACCGGAAGGAGGGAGCUGCCGAAGGCAGGUUCGAUGACUGGGGUGAAGUCGUAACAAGGUAAC
rnacentral:rRNA from 1 species